AGGAUAACGGGAGGGGUGCAAAGCCUCGUGCUGAAGGUACAAGCCUUGCGUCAGACUGUCAGGGUGGCGUCGGGGUCAACGCGCAUGCCAACGCGCGUCAGGAGGGAGGAAGGGAGGGAAGGGGCACAACACGCACGCGCGUCGCUGCAGCGUCACUGCUCGGUGACCUCCACCCUCAGUCAAGUGGGUCCUGUUAUCGUUCACGCUCCAACAGUCAGUGACAAGGCCUCUGUUUGAGGACAACCACAGGAACUGUGUCCUCUCCUUGUCACACACACACCGACUACUCGGCAGCAGCGGGACACCGGCAGUCCGCCUGACACUGCAGCUGGUGAGACCUGCACUGGGAUGCCCUACAUCUCGGCUGCCGUGGCAACCACUCCCACGCCGUGAGAACCGAGGGUCUGUCAUGUCACACUCCGCAGCCGGACAGGAAGAAGGGAAGGAUUAAGGAAGAAAAAUGCCGAAAAAGAGAAAGCGCAAAGCGAAAUUCAAUCUGUGAGGAGGUGAGCUGAUGGACCGACAACACCAACGGAGACGUGACGUUCAGCGCCAGGGUAUUCCCCUUCCCGCGCACGUGAGGUGCGUGACGUCACAAUGCACGCUGUCGGGUGUGAUGUCACAAGGUGCGCCCUCGCACGUGGUGCACCAGUGGAGCCGAACUCCCUCGCAUGUUACGUACCAAGGCCCUCCAGUUCCCGCGCAAGUAAGGUGCCAGCCCACACCACCUCUCUCUCAGGUCCCGUUACUUUCACCGCCAUUCUCUGGAGGAACCAAUAGAGGAGAUCCCCUGCUACAGACUCUAGACAGUCGCAUGUCAGCCCCCGCUGGACCGCCACCUCUUCUGGUUCAUCCAUAUCCACACCCACAUCCACAUCCCCAGCAAUUCAUGAAUCCUCAAACAUCACUGUUCUCCUCCAGUCCCCAUCCCACAAUGCAGCAGAUUUUCGUCGGCAGUUUCCCGCAUUCUGCCGCACAGCAGCCACUGCAGAGCAGCUGUCCCACGCGUUUUCUUCCACCAAGAGUCCCUGACAACUGCUUAAUCGCUCCUUUCCCUCCAAGCCCACGGCCACCACUCGGCUAUUUUAAGCCCCCGACACACGUCCAGCGCCAUUUUGUGGCGCCAGGCGGCGGCGUUGAAAGACAACGGUUGCUGGCGCACGUGGGUUCUGUCACGGGAGCCUCCAACUUCAGGAAUGUUUAUCAGGAUUACGGGAAUCAAGAUCCCUGUCAUAGCUACCUGGGGAAUAACUUACACAGACAACAAUACAGCCACAUGCAGCGGGAGCCACCAGCGCCACCAGCGACCAUUGCACGGCCUGAGGUCGGAGGGCAACAAGCAGCGGAGGUAGUUGCAGUCGGCACCACGCGGUUGUUAGGCGGGGCGGAGGGAAGCGAGGAAGGUGGACAAGGAUCUCUGUUGUGUGCGACCAGACCACAGCAGGGUGGUGGAGGUUCAUGGCAGGGUGAGGAAAGUUCAUGGCAGGGUGGUGAAGGUUCACGGCAGGAGGGUGAAGGUCUACCUCAUGAUGGAGGUUCCCCGUUGUGUGCACCAGGACCAUCGCCGGGUGGACAGCGAUCGUCUCCGGGUGCAGAACCUUCUGUGGAUUAUGCGUCACAAGAAAACCUGACGUCACCAGCAAACCUAACGUCACCAACAUCAACAGACCAAACGUCACCGGAAAUCCAGUCUGCGUCAUCGGAGUCCUCCUCACCAACAGGUGCUGCUGCAGACGCUGCCAGUCCGGGCUACUUCCAGCCGGUGCACGUUCGAGCCUCACCUCUACUGGCGUCGUCCACUGCCGAGGGUCUCGUGGAUAAGCCAGACGGCGGGCCGACGAGACUGGAGCGGCUGUCUCCAGCAGAGACAGAGCAAGUCUUCAAGCAGUGGCAAGAGUUCGUCAGAGACAAGUACCCGGAACUCCACUCUCGGCCCUACUGCGUCCCACCCGUGCACUUCAAUCGCCUGAGCACCAAGUCCCACAAGGUCCAUGGCGCCAAGGUGGAGUUGCUAGGCACCGACGGCGACUCCAACCUCAAAGAUGACGACGCCCAGCGCCGCCUGGUGUCCGCCCUGUAUGCCAUGGCCAGACAAUCAGAUGAUGUCAUGUUCAUCAUGUCUUCUGUUACCUUCGACAAUUUCCUGAAAAAGCCCAUCACACUAGAAACGCCAGUGCCAGAGAAGGUCUUCAAGAAAAGGAGGAACAGAAAGAAACCUGCUCCUCAGAUCCCUCCGGAAGGUCAAGAGUUCAAUCCAGCAGAACAUCAGCAGUGUCAAGACCCCUCGAAGCCAGAUUUUAACCCCUGCAGCGACUCUGAGGGUAAACUCUCACCUUUAGACAAUGUCAAGGGUGGUGGUAAGCCCUCAACUCAGGGGGCAAAGAAAGAGAGAACUGUCCCCCCUUCCUCGCUGCCCCCGAGUCCAGACAACGGCAAGAACAAGAAACGGUUGGACCCUGUACACAAACUUCGAGUGGUCAAGAAGGGGAAGGCAGAUAGGUUCUUCCCGGCUCCCUCCCAUCUCGACAGCAGCCACAAACGAGGAGACCUGGACAUUCUGGUGGUGCACAAGCAGCAUGGCUUCGUCGUCAUGGAAAUCAAAGCCGUUGGUGGCAAGAAUGGCAGCAUGCAGCAAACCCUGCAGGACUUCGAGGAACUUGUGAGGAGGAAGCUGAAGAAGAGCACUGAGCAGCUGGACAAGGAGGAGAGAGUCCUGAGAUACGUAACAUCAGGAAGAAAUUUCUGGCAAAAUGGCGACCCAGUCGAGCUCAACGACAACGAGGCAGUGAACUUAAGAAAGGUCAUUGCCUUUCCGAAUAUACAGCGUGCCUGUCUGCGCCAGACACUGGAGACCUCACCUGAGGACUUACAAAAGAGGGUGCAAGAAUGUUUGGGAUGCUCGACCACCGAGGAUGUACUGAGGUACUGUCUGUGCGAAGACGAUGUACCGGCCUGUAGUUCAUCCAGCUGUGACCCCCACGCUGACCCCACGGCAGCCGUUGCCCGCUGGUGGGACGAGCUUGUCAACGACGGCAAAGUCUUGCGUCCCAUGACAGACACCGGGUACGAGGAUGUUAUCUCCAGAUUCUGCGGCAAGCACUCCAUGGUGACGGUGUGGAGCUGGGGGUCACCCAAGGCGGAGGUUCGAACCCUGGCCGAGGCCGUGUACGAGACAGGACGCCGCUUCUGCAUGUUGCUGCUGCGCCCGGGCCAGAUGGACCUCCUGGACAGCCCAGAGCCAAGAGUCUUCAUCCACGGACCUCCAGGGUCAGGCAAGACUUUGCUGUUGGUGCUGAAGGGCGUGGAGUGGGCGAGACAGGGGCGCCACGUGUACAUCCUGACGGGAGGUAACCGCAGCGUGUCCGUGUCCAAUGUGCUGUACGAGCAGAUCGUGCAGACCCUGAAGGGCAGUCAGGCAGUUGUCAACGUUCACAAGGUCUUCAUCACCCUGGACGCCGACCCCGAGGAAGAAGUCCGCAAGAUAUCGCUGCAGUCGCAAGGGAAACCGUUUGGAAUUUUGGUGGACGAGUGCUGGAAGCCUGUGUCAUCUUGCCAGAUGGUGCCCAUCCUUCGGUCCGUGCUGGACAUUUUGAAGCGAGUGCUGUGUCUGCUGAAGAUGAUCAGGAUGAGCUCUGCUCAGUCUUCUCAUGAACAAGUGUCGGAAACGACAAAACCUCAAAAUGUCACCCAAGAAUUAUCAUUGUGUGACACCAACACAGGAGAGGCUGAAAGCAAGAGAACUCAUUCUUCCUUGUCAGAAGGAUCUGUUUCAUCAGACAGUUCAUCGCAGGAUGUCAAUGGUGCGUGCAAGCCUGUUGGUGAGACCAGGUCUGGAAGGAAACCUCGCAUCCUGCUUUACCAGCAGUCGCCAGAUGACACAUGCCAUCAGCAACCCUCGUUUCUCGAUGUCCUGAGCUCGGUGAAGAGGCUCAAAGGUUCUGUGGGUCGGAUGAAAAGCGCCCAGAAGCUGGCCAAACGCGACCUGCCUGAAGAGGUGGACAUGCUCCUGGGUCAGAUCCUUGAGGUCCCGCUCGAGGACCAGAUCACCCUCCUGCAAACUCACCUCCCUCGGCUUUUCUCGCCUCUCCGAGACAGCGUCAGACAGGACGUGCUGCGCGUCAUCUCGCGUCAGAUGAUGUCACAUCUGAGCGGAACGAUAAUGGUGCUGUCAUCAGUCCAGGCCUGGAUAACCUCAGUCAUCUUCCGUCAUCUAGUGGACUGCGCGGCCCGACAUCCCCAGUGCUCGGCGUGGGCCGUGGGCGUGUGGCAAGGAGCUUGUCCUGAAGGGUUCGCUCUGAAAACGCUGACAAGCAUUGUGCGAUGUCCACCUAGUGUCCAGCAGGUGUUGGCGCAGGUGGAGCAGGAUGCUAGCCAGACACCGACCGUUCGUUACACCUACCUGGACUGCAGCACGCGCCAGAACCCUCCUCUUCCCUCGGACGGACUCGACCCCACCUACCUCGAGCACUCGGCAGCUGCGUGCGGGGAGACCGCGGGCGUGGAGGGCAUCUUCCAGUGCUACAGGUGCGGGCAUCAGCUCGGCAAACACUUGACGACGGAUCUCAGGAUAUGUCGAUCCUCAGGGGACAAGACCGGCCCGACGGAAGGCCUGCAGUUUAGUGACGUCAUCAUCAGCGGGAACGAGGCGAGGUGUCGUCCAGACUCGCCGUUUGUGCGCGGCCUCAGCGACCAGAACGUACCCGUCAAGGUGAUGAUCGAGGUCAAAGGUCAAGAGGAGGUGGCCCAGCGGCUGCUGACAGAAGACAAAGUGGUGAUCACGGACACUUUUUACAUUCACGGCUUGGAGCGGAAAAUCGUUGUGUACGUUCCCGAUGUGCAGACCAUCGGGGGAGAACAUCAGCGUGUCGUUGUUGCCGAAAAUGACGACAUCCGAGAACGACCGAGAGACGAUAAAGACGACGAGGAAGUUGGCGCUGGCUGUCCUCAGAAAGAAUCCUUCUGUCCCUGCCCACCGGACAUGAGCUUCAGUUUAUGUCGAGCCUCUGCCUACCAAACCACCGAGGGUGCGAACAUCAAGCUAAACGGUCCUUCGGUGAAGGAAGGAAGAAGCCUGGCUGCCAUGGAUCCUCGGUUGGCUGCCAUGGGAACUGCUAACAGACAGAUGCUGUGGUACGUCGCCUCCAGGACCUUAUCCCACGUAGUUAUCUUUCACUUCGGGGCGAAGACGGAAUCUCGACAAGUGCCUCCCAAAUGAUCUAUUAAUAGACGGAAUCUCGACAAGUCACUCCUCCCAAAUGAUCUAUUAAUAAUCUGGAAAUCUCGACAAGUGACUUCUAACAGACCUGUUAAUACUGACAGUGCAUGAGCUGUGCCUCAUCUGAUAUUUGUGGAUUCUGAAUCUCUACCAGGCUGCUGUGUCCGUGAGGUGAACACCUGGACAAUAAAAUGCACGAAUUCAACCGAUCACCUACAGACAAACAGAGCUGGGAGGGGAUCUGGGAGAGUUGUGAUCACGGAGGAAAGUUCUCACAGUAGGGUAGACUGAAUACUUCUCGUGGUGU
rnacentral:misc_RNA from 1 species